AAUACAUAGCUUAAUGAGGGGAACUCAGGGAACUGAAACAUCUAAGUACCUGAAGGAAGAGAAAGAAAUUCGAUUCCGUAAGUAGCGGCGAGCGAACGCGGAUUAGCCCAAACCAAUAAAGUUUUCUGUAUUGGGGUUGCGGACAUAUCAUAACGAAGAGGUAUCGUAAUUGAAGAGGUUUGGAAAGACCCACCACAGAAGGUAAUAGUCCUGUAUGUUAAACGAGAAGACUUUAGAUAUGAUCCAGAGUACCACGGGACACGUGAAACCCUGUGGGAAGCAGGAGGGACCACCCUCCAAGGCUAAAUACUACCUAGUGACCGAUAGCGUAUAGUACCGUGAGGGAAAGGUGAAAAGAACCCCGGGAGGGGAGUGAAAUAGAACCUGAAACCCUGCACUUACAAGCUGUGGAAGCACAUUUCUUGUGUGACCGCGUACUUUUUGUAGAACGGGCCAACGAGUUACGUUAAGUAGCAAGGUUAAGCACUUAAGGUGCGGAGCCGUAGCGAAAGCGAGUUUUAACUGAGCGUUCAGUUACUUGACGUAGACCCGAAACCGGGCGACCUACCCAUGAGCAGGAUGAAGCGAAAGUAAAAUUUCGUGGAGGUCCGAACCCACGAGCG
rnacentral:rRNA from 1 species